GGGCGAAUUCUGACAAGAUUUGUGUUACACUGCUUGUUGGAGUGUCUCCACCAGAUAUAAUUGAUGUACAGCCUGUUGGUGAUAUAUAUCCAAACCAUAACAAAUGGACAAUCAAAUUUGAUAAACAGUUUGAACGACCGAAUAGAACAACAUUUAUAUACUUUAAAGAGCGCGACACUGAUGCAGUGGUUCACAAAAUUGACAUUUCAACGAACAGAAACGCUCAAUUCCCACAAGGUGCCAUUGGAAAGACUCUUACAGUACAGACAAACUUUGUUUUCAAAGAAAAGAACCAUUACUACGUGAACUUAGAC